AAUCAACGCUGGCGGCGUACCUAACACAUGCAAGUCGAACGCGAGAGUCCCGCAAGGGACAAUUGAGUGGCAAACGGGUGAGUAACACGUGGGUGACCUGCCUUCGAGUGGGGGAUAACGUCCCGAAAGGGACGCUAAUACCGCAUGACAUCCUGCCUUUGGACAGGCGGAGAUCAAAGCCGGGGAUCGCAAGACCUGGCGCUUGAAGAGGGGCCCGCGUCUGAUUAGCUAGUUGGNGAGGUAACGGCUCACCAAGGCGACGAUCAGUAUCCGGCCUGAGAGGGCGGACGGACACACUGGGACUGAGACACGGCCCAGACUCCUACGGGAGGCAGCAGUGGGGAAUUGUUCGCAAUGGGCGCAAGCCUGAUCCAGCGAUGCCGCGUGUGUGAAGAAGGCCUGCGGGUUNUAAAGCACUUUCAGUAGGGAAGAAAAGCCGAGUGCUAAUAUCACUCGGUCUUGACGUUACUUACAGAAGAAGCA
rnacentral:rRNA from 1 species